rnacentral:rRNA from 1 species
GACGAACGCUGGCGGCGUGCCUAAUACAUGCAAGUUGAGCGCUGAAGGUUGGUACUGUACCAACUGGAUGAGCAGCGAACGGGUGAGUAACGCGUGGGGAAUCUGCCUUUGAGCGGGGGACAACAUUUGGAAACGAAUGCUAAUACCGCAUAAAAACUUUAAACACAAGUUUUAAGUUUGAAAGAUGCAAUUGCAUCACUCAAAGAUGAUCCCGCGUUGUAUUAGCUAGUUGGUGAGGUAAAGGCUCACCAAGGCGAUGAUACAUGGCCGACCUGAGAGGGUGAUCGGCCACAUUGGGACUGAGACACGGCCCAAACUCCUACGGGAGGCAGCAGUAGGGAAUCUUCGGCAAUGGACGAAAGUCUGACCGAGCAACGCCGCGUGAGUGAAGAAGGUUUUCGGAUCGUAAAACUCUGUUGGUAGAGAAGAACGUUGGUGAGAGUGGAAAGCUCAUCAAGUGACGGUAACUACCCAGAAAGGGACGGCUAACUACGUG